rnacentral:rRNA from 1 species
GAUGAACGCUGGCGGCAUGCCUAACACAUGCAAGUCGGACGGGAAGUGGUGUUUCCAGUGGCGGUCGGGUGAGCAACGCGCAAGAACGUGACCUUGGGAGGGGAACCACAGCUGGAAACGGCUGCUAAUACCCCGUAGGCAUAGGAGCAAAAGGUGGAAUCCGCCCGAGGAGGGGCUUGCGCCUGAUUAGCUAGCUGGUGAGGCAAUAGCUUACCAAGGCGAUGGUCAGGAGCUGGUGCGAGAGGAUGAGCGGCCACACUGGGACUGAGGCACGGCGCAGGCACCUUCGGGAAACGGCAGUAAGCAGGUUUCCGCAAUGCGCGGGAGGCUAACAGGGCAUUGCGGCGUGAAAGUAGUGGUCCCACGGAUCAUGAACUGCUUUUCCCGGAGAAGAAGCAAUGACGGUAUCUAAGGAAUAAGCAUCGGCUAACUCUGUG